rnacentral:ncRNA from 1 species
UUCUUAUCCAGAGAGGUCGAGGGAAUGGCCCUAAGACGCCUCAGCAACCUUCCAUGUAUUUUCGUCAUUGGAAAGGUGCUAAAUCCAUCAAGUUAUUUGGAACUUGAGAGAUAAGGA